GCCUGGGUGGCUCAGUCGGUUAAGCACCUGACUUCAGCUCAGGUUGUGAUCUCGCCAUUCUGAGUUUGAGCCCCAUACCAGGCU
rnacentral:tRNA from 1 species